AAAAAAAAGGUCCCCUCACAAAAAAAAACUGAAGGUAGGUUUUCUCAAAAAAAAAAAGUAACAGAAGGUGGGAGGUCGGCGACGAUGGCGGCGGUGGAUCUGUCGAAGCUGGUGAAGGAGAAGCGCUUCUGGGCCGCCUCCUUCCUCAUCGCAUGGGCGGCGGCGCUCCAGGGGCACAUGAUUUGGUUGAAGCGGCAGGACGCCUUCAAGGACAAAUUCGGCGACCCCGAAGCCCCCAACAAGGUCACCGAGCAGCCGGCCGACGACAGCACCAGACUCGCCGGCGAGCAGGGGGAGCUCACCGCCGACGCCGAGAUCAGAUAGGUAGCUAGGCUGCACCUAGGGAGGGGAAGAGAAUGAGAUAGAUGCCAAGUCAAGAUACACAUGUCUUGUGUGUGCACUUACUGAUGUGGCAUAUGCGCGCGGACCAUUCGGUUCGGUUCGAUUCAACUGGUACAUGUAUCUGUCGGUGACGUUCUUGGAUGGAGAGAUGGAGAAAUGGAAGAGAGGGAUGGAUAUUCUGACGGACAGCAUAUCCAUGCCGUCGUCGAUCAGUCACCACUCACCAGAUGGUUAACUAUAGUUAGCUACUGCAUACCUAUAGCUAGACUAGAUAGGCACGCCAAAGUCUCAGGCUGGUCAUAGUGAGGAGUAACUUAGACUAGUGUCAUAUGCAUGACAUUAGUCUAAGUUACUAUUUUCAUAGUGCAAAGUAACAUAGUACUAGUGCCAUAUGUGGCCUCAUUUAAUAGCUUGUAGACUCAUGUUGUCUUGGAAAUCGCUAUGUUACAGUAACA